CUGAUCUUUGGCGCAAGCACAUCAGCUGUUCAAGCUUGGAUGGGUCGAUGGUCAUGCAGUUAACUGUCACUCUCAAUCAAUCGUUUGAUGACUCAAAACGGCCCGCUGCAAAAAAUCACUCCGAUUUACCAAAGUGCAGGUCUUUGAAAAAAAAAAUCUCCAGAAUUGAUUGAAUCCAAGACAUCUACUAGAAUGAUGACAUUCAGGGUGGAGAGUAAGCCGGUCAACCGUAAAUAUUAUGACAGAAGUCUGCUGAACUUCCUGUUGAAUGUGAAGAAGCAUCUGCACUCAGUGACCAGCCUCACUUUGAGAUGGAUGAGAUGACAUUGAGACCCCAUCACAGGUUCGUUAGGAGAGGAAAAAUUCAACUACCAGACCAACAUUCAAACCUAGGACCUCUGAAAUCUAGAUGUGGCCACCAGUGUUCAGCUCAGACGAGUUCCACUACAUGUACAUUCCUCCCUCCUUCAACAAUGUCUUCAACUGGAAGGUACCCAAGACUCUUCUACCACCUCUGUGGGUAGUUAGUUGUGCGCCAAGUGUAACAAGAGAGGAAAAAUGCAACGACCAGAUCUGAACUGGAACUUGGGACCUCCUAACUCUAGAUGGAUGCUCUAUCCAUUUGAACUACAUGGCCAUUGUUCUCAUCAUGUUAUCAAAUUUUUA